GAUCCUGUAGCUCAGUGGUAGAGCAUUUGACUUUUAAUCAAAGGGUCGCGCGUUCAAACCGCGCCAGGAUCA
rnacentral:tRNA from 1 species